UACAGAGGGUGCGAGCGUUGUCCGGAAUCACUGGGCGUAAAGGGCGCGUAGGCGGCGCGGUAAGCGUGCGGUGAAAGCCCGGGGCUCAACCCCGGGUCGGCCGUGCGGACUGCCGGGCUGGAGCACUGUAGAGGCAGGUGGAAUUCCGGGUGUAGCGGUGGAAUGCGUAGAGAUCCGGAAGAACACCGGUGGCGAAGGCGGCCUGCUGGGCAGUAGCUGACGCUGAAGCGCGACAGCGUGGGGAGCGAACAGG
rnacentral:rRNA from 1 species